rnacentral:siRNA from 1 species
ACUAGAACUGGUCAUAGAAUGUGC